rnacentral:rRNA from 1 species
UAGUCCACGCUGUAAACGAUGAUCACUCGUUGUUGGCAAUACAUCGUCAGCGACUAAGCGAAAGCAUUAAGUGAUCCACCUGGGGAGUACGGUCGCAAGAUUGAAACUCAAAGGAAUUGACGGGGGCCCGCACAAGCGGUGGAACAUGUGGUUUAAUUCGAUGAUACGCGAGGAACCUUACCUGGGCUUAAAUGUAGGACGACAGAUCGGGAAACUGAUCCUUCUUCGGACGGACUACAAGGUGCUGCAUGGUUGUCGUCAGCUCGUGCCGUGAGGUGUCGGUUUAAGUCCCAUAACGAACGCAACCCUUAUCGUUAGUUACCAGCGAGUAAUGUCGGGGACUCUAACGAAACUGCCGGUGUAAACCGUGAGGAAGGUGGGGAUGACGUCAAAUCAGCACGGCCCUUAUGUCCAGGGCUACACACGUGUUACAAUGACCAGUACAAAGGGCAGCUACCUGGUGACAGGAUGCUAAUCUCUAAAACUGGUCUCAGUUCGGAUUGAAGU